AUGGCUCAGGAUGAACGCUGGCGGCGUGCUUAACACAUGCAAGUCGAACGGAGUUAUCAUUGAAACCUAGUGAUAUGAUAACUUAGUGGCGGACGGGUGAGUAACGCGUGGGUAACCUGCCUUAUACAGGGGGGAUAACAGUCGGAAACGACUGCUAAUACCGCAUAAGCGCACGGAAUCGCAUGAUUCAGUGUGAAAAGAUUUAUCGGUAUAAGAUGGACCCGCGUCUGAUUAGCUAGUUGGUGAGGUAACGGCCCACCAAGGCGACGAUCAGUAGCCGGCCUGAGAGGGUGAACGGCCACAUUGGGACUGAGACACGGCCCAAACUCCUACGGGAGGCAGCAGUGGGGAAUAUUGCACAAUGGGGGAAACCCUGAUGCAGCGACGCCGCGUGAGUGAAGAAGUAUUUCGGUAUGUAAAGCUCUAUCAGCAGGGAAGAAAGACUCGCAAGAGAGAUGACGGUACCUGACUAAGAAGCCCCGGCUAACUACGUGCCAGCCGCAGC
rnacentral:rRNA from 1 species